UGUGUGUUUCCACACCUAGUUGAUUACUCGACUGUUGUGGAGAUGCUGUGGAGGGGGCCAUAGCUCUAGUGACCAUUGACCUUUAGGUUCAGGGAACCAUCCUUGUGAGGUUGCAUAUACUCGACCUUGAAUCUAAAAUGUUGAACCUUCACUAGGGCACAAAGGGAGAUGUGUGUAUCCUUAUAACCCUUACUUUUGCUUAAUAAAAUCAAGCACCUUGUACAUAUCAC
rnacentral:lncRNA from 1 species